rnacentral:rRNA from 1 species
CUUUGGGAGCUUGCUCCCAAAAGUUAGCGGCGGACGGGUGAGUAACACGUGGGCAACCUGCCUAUAAGACUGGGAUAACUUCGGGAAACCGGAGCUAAUACCGGAUCAUUCUUUUCUACACAUGUAGGAAAGCUAAAAGACGGUUUACGCUGUCACUUAUAGAUGGGCCCGCGGCGCAUUAGCUAGUUGGUGAGGUAACGGCUCACCAAGGCCACGAUGCGUAGCCGACCUGAGAGGGUGAUCGGCCACACUGGGACUGAGACACGGCCCAGACUCCUACGGGAGGCAGCAGUAGGGAAUCUUCCGCAAUGGACGAAAGUCUGACGGAGCAACGCCGCGUGAGUGAUGAAGGUUUUCGGA